GACGAACGCUGGCGGCGUGCUUAACACAUGCAAGUCGAACGAUGAACCGGUUUCGGCCGGGGAUUAGUGGCGAACGGGCGGGUAACACGUGGGCAAUCUGCCCUGCACUCUGGGAUAAGCCCGGGAAACUGGGUCUAAUACCGGAUACGACACUCCGAGGCAUCUUGGGGUGUGGAAAGUUCCGGCGGUGCAGGGUGAGCGCGCGGCCUAUCAGCUUGUUGGUGGGGUAGUGGCCUACCAAGGCGACGACGGGUAGCCGGCCUGAGAGGGUGACCGGCCACACUGGGACUGAGACACGGCCCAGACUCCUACGGGAGGCAGCAGUGGGGAAUAUUGCACAAUGGGCGGAAGCCUGAUGCAGCGACGCCGCGUGAGGGAUGACGGCCUUCGGGUUGUAAACCUCUUUCAGCAGGGAAGAAGCGAAAGUGACGGUACCUGCAGAAGAAGCACCGGCUAACUACGUG
rnacentral:rRNA from 1 species